UGGCUGGUUUGAUUUAUGACUAGAGGAGAAGGUCCACUUCCUACUGCGAAGCGGGCAAACUGCUCACGGCUCAACUCUGGAAUAAGGAACUCUCGGAGGAGAGGACCCCCGUUCAGGUGGCAUUCUGAUGUACUGGGUCCCUGCAGAAAAGAAAAAGCCACCAUGGCUUGUGCUUCCCACCUGAUGCUGAGAUCUGUGGCUGAAAGGAGAUGGAGGACAAGCCUGGGGACUGGAGCAAGCUGGUACAAGCUUCCAGGAACUAUACCAUAGUCAUCUCCCACAACCUGAAGACCAAGAAGACCUGAAUGAAGCUGCCUUCAGGGUCCAAGAAGGUGAAUUCCUCAGCCAACAGAGCUGUUGUUAAGGGCAAAAUUGGCUAGAGAUGGACAGCUGGCUAACACAGAGCCACAAGGCAAGUUUGUGAUCACCUUGGGUCCUGGAACUCCACCCUGUGCCCCCUCUAUACUAAGGUACCAUGAUUCUUAACCUCUGAAGAUUUAAUGAUGUAAAGGGCAGGGCUGAGUCUGCAAGCAGAGACUCCAUUUGGACAUAGGAACAACUUACAGGUGCCAAAAGGCUUCUCAGUGACUGAUGGAGGUAACAUUGUCAAAGUUAGAUCACAGAUCACAGCCAGAAGGAGGUUCUCCCCACUCUAGACAUCAGCACUGAAUUCUUACCCACUUGAGUUUAUGGGCUGGGAAGUCCUUUACUGCUUUAUUAUAACCCACCUGGUUCCUAGCUCAGUUUUCACUUAUCAAUAAGCUUCAGUUUCCCAAUCUAUCAACUAUUUAACAAAAGAGUCCACAAAGUCAGUGAGUUCCUUGUGCUAGAUACCCGNNNNNNNNNNGGGAA
rnacentral:lncRNA from 1 species